CCUACGUGCGGCAGCAGUGGGGAAUAUUGGACAAUGGGCGAAAGCCUGAUCCAGCCAUGCCGCGUGUGUGAAGAAGGCCUUCGGGUUGUAAAGCACUUUCAGUGGGGAAGAAAGCCUUGGGGCUAAUACCCUCGAGGAAGGACAUCACCCACAGAAGAAGCACCGGCUAACUCCGUGCCAGCAGCCGCGGUAAUACGGAGGGUGCGAGCGUUAAUCGGAAUUACUGGGCGUAAAGCGCGCGUAGGCGGUCUGAUAAGCCGGUUGUGAAAGCCCCGGGCUCAACCUGGGAACGGCAUCCGGAACUGUCAGGCUAGAGUGCAGGAGAGGAAGGUGGAAUUCCCGGUGUAGCGGUGAAAUGCGUAGAGAUCGGGAGGAAUACCAGUGGCGAAGGCGGCCUUCUGGACUGACACUGACGCUGAGGUGCGAAAGCGUGGGUAGCAAACAGGAUUAGAUACCCUAGUAGUC
rnacentral:rRNA from 1 species